rnacentral:rRNA from 1 species
AGUGAACGCUGGCGGUAGGCCUAACACAUGCAAGUCGAACGGCAGCACAGUAAGAGCUUGCUCUUACGGGUGGCGAGUGGCGGACGAGUGAUGGAUACAUCCGAAUCUACUUUUUCGUGGGUGAUAACGUAGGGAAACUUACGCUAAUACCGCAUACGACCUACGGGUGAAAGCAGGGGAUCUUCGGACCUUGCACGAUUGAAUGAGCCGAUGGCGGAUUAGCUAGUUGGCGGGGUAAAGGCCCACCAAGGCGACGAUCCGUAGCUGGUCUGAGAGGAUGAUCAGCCACACUGGAACUGAGACACGGUCCAGACUCCUACGGGAGGCAGCAGUGGGGAAUAUUGGACAAUGGGCGCAAGCCUGAUCCAGCCAUACCGCGUGGGUGAAGAAGGCCUUCGGGUUGUAAAGCCCUUUUGUUGGGAAAGAAAAGCAGUAGGUUAAUACCCCGCUGUUCUGACGGUACCCAAAGAAUAAGCACCGGCUAACUUCGUG